GCGAAGGUGGCGGAAUUGGUAGACGCGCUAGCUUCAGGUGUUAGUGUCCCUUACGGACGUGGGGGUUCAAGUCCCCCCCCUCGCACCA
rnacentral:tRNA from 1 species